UGGGUGAUAGGGAGGAAGGCCCAGCUGGUGGGGUUGACUGCAACUGAUGCAGGAUCUGACAAAUGUGGGGUAUGUCAGCAAUCCACUACUAAUGUUUUCUUAGGGUGCCAGUGAGAUGAAGGAAGGCCCACGGAUAUGAGGGACACAUCUGUUUGGAAGUAGGCUACAGGCAAUGGUCUAGGCAGGUUGGUAGUAGAUUGUUGGUACUCACUGAUGGUAAAGAUAUGACAGGAUUCCAGGCUUGGGUUAGCAAAGAACAAGAAAGAAAAAGAAAAUGUCUGGUGGUCUGGUAGUGAGGCUUCAUGGGUCUUAGCAGUGGAAGAAAAUGCAAGGUCAGAGAGAGCUGGGUCAGCCGUGCCCUGGAACCCUGAGUCAUCUGUGAAGGUGUGGCCAGAUCUUUGGUUUCUGGAACUCAACUCUAGCUCUAGACUCCGGCGGCGCAUCUCCCCGGGGUCCCCAACUAUGAGGUAGAGGCUCCAGGCAAGCUUCUGUCUCCAUGAUGCUCUGCCUGUGUUGGGGGUGUGGUCACGGGGGGCCGUGGUCACAGGGGAGCCAACCAAGAGCACCAAGGCCUUCCAUUGCCAUGGAGACGGGCCCAUGGGCCAACCAGGCCCAGGCUGGUCAGUGAAUGAAUAAACGUGGCCCAUUUUUCCGCCUUUGUCCUGAGGCUCCCCGCAGCUUCCUGCUGUCAGCCCCAGCUGUGGGGAAGGCGGAAUGUGCCUGAGUGAUAUCGCCGGGCCGCUGCCGGGCAGCGCCAAGCCUGGCCUGGCUGCCCCAAGCCAAGAUUCAUGCCCGGCAAACAAGCCACACUUUGUUCCUGUGGGAAAGUCCGGCCUCUCAGGAAAGAGCCUCUCUCGGCGGCUGGGCCCUGGGCUGGGGACGCGCAGCCAUAUUCCACAGGCCCACUCAGCAGCUUGGAUCCCAGAGUGAAGUGAUGUGACAGGGAGAAGCUGUCACACUGCGGACAAACAAGACUUAGGUGACAAAGGAUCCACUGGGUUGCAAGGUUGGAGGGGCUGCUUGUUACCUCAGUGCAACUCAGCCUGCUGACAGACGGAUGGACGGACGGACAGACGGAUGCAGCUGGUGGAAACACACGUGCCACAAAUUACUAAGCUGCACAUCCAGGUUGUGGAUUCAAGCUACCCAUCUGUGUUUGAAUUAUUCCUCCUGUGUUGUACUUUUCUCUUCAGAAGUAUUUAGGCAUGUUUUAAGUCUGACCUUUGCGCAUGAGCUCUCCCUUCCGCUCUGGCUGGCAGGGCCCAUCAGAAACUGUAAGUGCAUCCAUUUUUGCUCAGGCAAGACAAACAGCUGCCUUUCCUGGAGGAGACACCUAACCUUUAAACCAUCCUCUCAGAACUUGGGUGCAUGACGGAAAUGCUCUGGGGGACGUGACUUGCACAUCCGUGCUCAACACACACACACACACACACACACACACACACACACACACACUGAGUCACCCACCUAGAGGCAAAACAGCUCAGUCAAAAUGUCAAAGAAAUAGUUUCCAUGAGAUCUUUCUAGCCCCACUCUAGGGACAGUUAGGCAGCAGAGUCAUGCAUGUCCAACCUCAGAAGAGGUGUUCAGCGAUGGCAGGAGCCUAUCUUCGUAUGCGUUCACAAUCUGGACUUCCUGUCUUGACCUCUGACAAAAAAUAUCUUCUAUCAAUCAUCA